rnacentral:rRNA from 1 species
UGAAUACGAGAUGCUAAGGCGUCGAAGUAGUGUAUGUCAUACUUCCAAGAAAAGCUUGCACUGUCAUAAGUAAAAAAUGCCUGUACCAUAACCGACACAGGUGGGUAAGUAGAGUAUACUAAGGGGCGCGAGAUAACUCUCUCUAAGGAACUCGGCAAAAUGACUCCGUGACUUCGGGAGAAGGAGUGCCUUAUUCUUAAGGUUGCAAUAACAAGAUCCAAGCAACUGUUUAUCAAAAACACAGGUCUCCGCUAAGUCGUAAGACGAUGUAUGGGGGCUGACGCCUGCCCAGUGCCAGAAGGUUAAAGAAGUCGGUUAGCAAUCGCGAAGCUGGUAACUGAAGCCCUGGUGAACGGCGGCCGUAACAAUAACGGUCCUAAGGUAGCGAAAUUCCUUGUCGGGUAAGUUCCGACCCGCACGAAAGGCGUAAUGAUUUGGAUGCUGUCUCGGAGAGAGGCUCGGUGAAAUAGACUUGUCUGUGAAGAUGCGGACUACCUGCACCAGGACAGAAAGACCCUAUGAAGCUUUACUGUAACUUGAAAUUGAAAUUGGACUUUAUUCGCGCAGUAUAGGUGGGAGGCGUUGAUUAUAAUCUUGCGGGAUUAUUGGAGCCAUCAGUGAGAUACCACUCUUGUAAUGUUAGAUUUCUAACUUUGAAUCAUUAUCUGGUCAAAGGACAAUUUCAGGCGGGCAGUUUGACUGGGGCGGUCGCCUCCUAAAUGGUAACGGAGGCGUACAAAGGUUUCCUCUGAACGGUUAGAAAUCGUAUCUAGAGUGUAAAGGCAUAAGGAAGCUUGACUGUGAGACCUACAAGUCGAGCAGGGACGAAAGUCGGUCUUAGUGAUCUGACGGUACUGAGUGGAAAGGCCGUCACUCAACGGAUAAAAGUUACUCUAGGAUAACAGGCUGAUCUCCCCCAAGAGUUCACAUCGACGGGGAGGUUUGGCACCUCGAUGUCGGCUCAUCGCAUCCUGGGGCGGUAGUACGUCCCAAGGGUUGGGCUGUUCGCCCAUGAAAGCGGUACGCGAGCUGGGUUCAGAACGUCGUGAGACAGUUCGGUCCAUAUCCGGUGUAGGCGUUAGAAUAUUGAGAGGAGCCUUCUUUAGUACGAGAGGACCGAGAAGGACAUACCUCUGGUGUACCAGUUAUCGUGCCAACGGUAAACGCUGGGUAGCUAUGUAUGGAGUGGAUAACCGCUGAAAGCAUCUAAGUGGGAAGCCCACCUCAAGAUAAGUA